GACGAGUGGUCCAAGCGUUAUCCGGAAUUACUGGGCGUAAAGGGUGUGUAGGUGGUUUGAUUAGGCGGUCGUUAAAGCUCUCGGCUUAACCGGGAAAAUGCGAUCGAAACGGUCAAACUAGAGAGGACCAGAGGCUAGUGGAACUCAUGGUGUAGGGGUGAAAUCCGUUGAUAUCAUGGGGAACGCCAAAAGCGAAAGCAGCUAGCUGGGGUGCAUCUGACACUCAAACACGAAAGCGUGGGUAGCGAACGGG
rnacentral:rRNA from 1 species